rnacentral:ncRNA from 2 species
UGGUGUUGAUUUCUGCAUGGUCAGUAGAUUGAAGACUAAGAGAUAAUCGGGAAGUACGGUAUGUUGAUGACACGUUAUCUAUUGCGCGUCAUCGAUAAACUCCGUCGCUGCCCCCGCAUCGGUUAAGAGAAAGCUUACUGGGUAUUUUUGUAUUACCUAAGCCACUGAGCAGCGCCGCAAAGCGACUGUUUGGGAAGGCGUAAGUCCUGUGUAAUGACGUCUGUCUAUUGCAAUUCUCUUGUAGCCCGAAUACCGGCCUAGCUCAUGACUUCGUA